rnacentral:misc_RNA from 1 species
UGCUUUUUAGGCACAAAGAUGAAGGUAUACUUAUCAAUAUAAUUUGUGUUGAUUUAAUUAUGUCUUAAAAUUUACUAAAUGGCCCACUAGUUGUGGACUUGUGGUUAUUUAUAUAUCAGACCUAACAUUUAUGCAUGUCAGAGUUAAAAGUAACUCAUAACAGAUCACAAUUUGGGAAUAAAAAAGUAACAUACCAAUGUUGGAUAUUUUAUAUGGUGCAUGUUGAUCAACUCUGUUUACAAGUUUCUCUAACUGUUUAAUACUUCGUGGGAUUCAUUAUUCAUCAGGCUGAUUGAUGCUUUUCUGGUUUAUUUCUAUAUGCCAAAAAUCAUACUAGUGACCUGCGCGUCAAAUCCAUGAGUUUAAUUAUUUUGGCCUGAAGGAGAAAAAUUUAGGAGAUAAACUGUAGAACUUAAAAAAGUAGAUGUAAUUGAUUAUCUUGGUAUUAGGCAUGUGUUCAGUGUGGUGGCGACAUACAAUCCAACAUUGUCAUUAACAAAACUAGCAUUUAAUGAGUUCCUGGUGAUGGAUGUAAUCAUGGAAACCUUUAUGUAUGCAGUUUCUUUUCAUGCAUAUGCCCAUAAUUAUGAGUUUUUGAACAUUUUUUGCAAUUUAUAGAAUGGAUCUGAUUUUUUCAGACCCACUGUGGAUAUUCUAUGCUAUAACUAAAAGUGGCUUAAGGUCUGGAGCUUUUCACACCAAAAGAGGGAUUUUUUUUAGUACUUAAGGUAUCCUAGGUGAAAUCUUAAGGGUGUUUUUUAUUUUUUACUUGGAGUUCACUGUUUCAGAUUAUGGAAAUAGACUCCUUGUUAUUCAAGGGGUAGGCUGAAUGCAUUUAACUCACCCUAGAGUAGACCCGGCCAAAGGCUGGUCCUGGUCCAGUUCCUGGCCCUUGGUGGGCUUGAAUUGUAACUGGCCAUUGAGUAGCUGGUUCGAAGCGGUUCCGGUUCGUUCAUGGUUCCAGUUCCAGUGGGCCUCAGUCCAGUUUUGGUUCCGGCAUGAAAUCUGAAUCAACAUUCUUAAAAAAACUUGAAUUUAACAAAAUUACAAAUAAAA